GUGGGGAAUAUUGGGCAAUGGGCGCAAGCCUGACCCAGCAACGCCGCGUGAGGGAAGAAGGCUUUCGGGUUGUAAACCUCUGUCCUUGGUGACGAAACAAAUGACGGUAGCCAAGGAGGAAGCCCCGGCUAACUACGUGCCAGCAGCCGCGGUAAUACGUAGGGGGCGAGCGUUGUCCGGAAUUACUGGGCGUAAAGGGUGCGUAGGUGGCCUUUUAAGUUGGAUGUGAAAUACCCGGGCUUAACUUGGGGGGUGCAUCUAAUACUGGAGGGCUAGAGUGCAGGAGAGGAAAGCGGAAUUCCUAGUGUAGCGGUGAAAUGCGUAGAUAUUAGGAGGAACACCAGUGGCGAAGGCGGCUUUCUGGACUGUAACUGACACUGAGGCACGAAAGCGUGGGGAGCAAACAGGAUUAGAUACCCGAGUAGUCC
rnacentral:rRNA from 1 species